rnacentral:lncRNA from 1 species
GUUUUCCAAGUGGGCAGCAGGGGAUGUCAAGGUAGAUCCAUACCAACUGGCAUUCGAGCACAAUGUGUUGUUUGUGUCUGACUGGACGAGGCUUGGGUUCUUUGAGGUUGACUAUGGGUGGGGUGCACCAAACCAUAUCAUACCAUUCACUUAUGCUGACUACAUGGCAGUGGCAGUUCUUGGAGCUCCACCUUCGCCGAAGAAGGGAACCCGAAUUAUGACACAGUGCGUGGAGGAGAAGCAUCUCAUGGACUUCAAGGAUCAGAUGAAGACCUUCUUUUAGGGGCUUGUCUUAUAUUGUUACGGUGCCAAUGCUAU